rnacentral:rRNA from 1 species
AGUGAACGCUGGCGGUAGGCCUAACACAUGCAAGUCGAACGGCAGCACAGUAAGAGCUUGCUCUUACGGGUGGCGAGUGGCGGACGGGUGAGGAAUACAUCGGAAUCUACUUUUUCGUGGGGGAUAACGUAGGGAAACUUACGCUAAUACCGCAUACGACCUACGAGUGGAAGCAGGGGAUCUUCGGACCUUGCGCGAUUGAAUGAGCCGAUGUCGGAUUAGCUAGUUGGCGGGGUAAAGGCCCACCAAGGCGACGAUCCGUAGCUGGUCUGAGAGGAUGAUCAGCCACACUGGAACUGAGACACGGUCCAGACUCCUACGGGAGGCAGCAGUGGGGAAUAUUGGACAAUGGGCGCAAGCCUGAUCCAGCCAUACCGCGUGGGUGAAGAAGGCCUUCGGGUUGUAAAGCCCUUUUGUUGGGAAAGAAAAGCAGCAGGUUAAUACCCCGCUGUUCUGACGGUACCCAAAGAAUAAGCACCGGCUAACUUCGUG